GGCCAAUAGAGCGUGUGGAUGUUCCACAACAGUCUAAUCAAGGCGAUUGUGGCAUGUUCGUGUUGAAGUACAUUGAGCUUUUGAGCGCUGAGAUUCCGUUAGCUACUUGCACCUCGCAGAACAUGCCCUUUUUUCGGUUGAAAUUGGCUGCAGAGAUAACACGGGGAGAUGCUUACAUGCCAUGAUAUGGGUUGAACUUGGUUUAGGUACAUGAUGAUUAAAUAGGUUUUGGGAAUGUCCAAUUUCAAACUCAUGUAAAUACACAAUAGAGACCUACGGGUCCUUUUCGAAUUCUACCUCUGCUCCUCUAUUCUUCUUCGUCUUUCUCAAUCUUAGUGUAUUUUUGUACA